CCGUGAUCGAGGGUGGAUGUUACGCUCCACCUCCAACGCCUUCCCGCCUGGACUAUCAUUCCCCGCAUAAGGAGUUUCCACCGUCGAGCGAUUCAAACCUAGCGCUGGAAGUGUGCUGUGUGUGCUGACGGGCUGCUGAGUGUGCUGAGGCUUGGCUUGGUUUAUAGUGUGAGUUUAGGAUUGACGGGAAAAAGUUUGGAAAUUGCGUUUUUUGGCUAUUAGCUCCACCGCCUCCACCGCUGUCGCUUCCACCUGACUCAACCUGCUGACGAGGACAAAGAAAGGAUAAGGCAGCGCGGAAGAGUCCCUGAUAACCCGCGGGCACUCGUCGAGGUCAUCGGGGAGUGAAGAGACAGACACAAACGCACACGCACCGCCGCCUGAAGCUGUGUUGGCAGGCCGGGGAGGAGUCAGACCCGCCCGCCUGCCACACGUCCUGCCGAAUUAGUCACCGGAACACGACCUCGGCCAAAGAGAAAGAGUGAGGGCGCGCGACGCUUUACAGAGGCGAGUAGAAUAUGUUGU